CACGGAAGUUAGCCGAUCCUUAUUCUUACAGUACAUUCAACUCACUACACGUAGCGAGGAUUUAUUCCCGUAUAAAAGCAGUUUACAACCCGUAGGGCCGUCUUCCUGCACGCGGCAUGGCUGGUUCAGGGUUGCCCCCAUUGACCAAUAUUCCUUA
rnacentral:rRNA from 1 species